AGGUGGAGCUGGGACCGGGCGAGGCGGAGCUGGGGAGCCGAGCCAAGCGGGUUUGUGUGCCUAUGGGAACCUUCCGGGUGGGGCUGCUGCGGACCUGGGACCGGGGCGGGAUAGGGUGAGGCUGGAGAUUGCUCGCGUGCUCCCGAUCCUUAUCUGCGCCGGUUGGGGUGUCCCGUGCUGGGCUUGGUAACCUUACGUUCUUUGCUCCUGCGCGCUAGGCUCAGGACUGCCUAGCAGUGCAGCACUACAGCUAUCUGGCUCUCCUGCUGUGUCGCUCUUAAAUGCGUGUCUGGAGUUCCUCUGGCGAAUGGUGGGCUGUUUGUCUCAUUUCCUCUGAUGAGAUACUUGAGGGAUCCUUGUUGAAAAAACAUCAGCAUCCCCCUUCUGACUGAGCAAAGAGGCAAAAACCAUGGAGUCUGACUGCAACAAACCAGGAAGACAAAUCUGAUUGGCUGCUGGCUUUUUGCUCACAACCACCUUUGGUGAAUUUUGUGAAACACAAUGUAUCAAAUUAUUUAAAAAAAUCCUUUCCCUUCUACACGCGUAACUGGUGUUUAAGGUUGAGUGUGUGUGUGUGUGUGUGUGUGUGUGUGUGUGUGUGUGUGUAUCUGUGGUGUUAGAGCUGGGAUGUGUGUCUGUGAGUCUGGUGUUUGAGAAGGGUUGCUGGGUUCCUGUGUGGUAUAGCUUAGGGCACAUUAGUAUUGAACUAAUGGGAAGACAACAUGACUUGUUUCUAACUCUUCAUUUAUACAUUAUUGAAUAUAACCUUUUUUUCUUAUCAGUUUUAACUGUUAAGGGAGACUAACAGAUAUAUCCCUCAGAGGGUGGAAGGGUGGGUUCUUAGUGUACUUUAACAUCUAAAGGUCCCUGUGGUAACUGGACUUCCCAGAUCUCCCCGCCCCCAAAAGCCCCUGACCUGAGUCACUUUUCCGGAGCAAGUCUCUUCCAGGGUAUUUCCUUGCAGGUGGCUGUUCCUAGGGAAGUCAUUUGUCCAGAUUCUUGGCUUUGAUUCCUCUCCAAGACAGAGUGGCACUCUAAGACCUCUGGCGUCAAGAUGGUCACGACCUGCGCACCCAGGAAGGAAGACGCUGGAGCCAGGGGGGAGAUAAACAGGGUUCUGGAAGGGCCUCCCGACUACAGUAGCGGAUCAGACUCAGGAUCACCCAGUGGUCUAACACAGGCUCAGCCUGGCUCUCUGGGCAUCUGGAAUUCUCCCGAUGAAAUCUGCAAGAAACUGCAGGAGGAAAGUUCGAAACUGCAGAGACCCCAGAGAUGGCACAGGAAGGAGCUGGGUCUGACUGAGGCUACUGCACACCUCAUCUGGUGGCCACUGUGAAUUGUAAUUUGAAAGGAAUCAACCAGAAGCACUUUCUUUCCGUUGCUAGCUGGGGAACUACCCCAGGACCUGCGCAUUAUUCUCUGGAGAGCCCGAGUGGGGUUGCGAUGUUAUGCAAAUCGAGCUUAAAAGACACCAAGCGAAGAGGAAAUCGAAAUCAACAGAGUAAACUCGUAUGAAAUCUGGAACAUUCACCACACCAGGAUCUUAAAAUCUGGGGUUUUAAGGAUGCAUAGGAGCCAAGAUGUCAGAAUGUGACCAGAAGUUGGAAAAAAAAGAUGCCCACAUCAAAUAAGUACUGAAAAGAUGAGGAAAAAGAAGUUGAUUUCCAGGAAAGAAAAACGAAUAAUCUGGGGAGCUGAAGAGAUAACUUAUUGGUUAAGAGCGUGUGUUGCUUUUCUGGAGAACUCAGGUUUAAUCUCUAGCACCUACAUGGUAGCUCACAAGCAUCUAUAACUACAAUCCGAGAAUAUCUAAUUCCCUCUCCUAGCCUCUGCAGGCAAUGAAUGCACACGCCACCCAUUAAUGCAGGUAAAACACCCACACAAAAUG
ensembl:antisense C230037L18Rik RIKEN cDNA C230037L18 gene